GUGUCAGCAGCCGCGGUAAUACGGAGGAUGCGAGCGUUAUCCGGAUUUAUUGGGUUUAAAGGGUGCGUAGGCGGCCGAGUAAGUCAGCGGUGAAAUUUUGCAGCUUAACUGUAACAGUGCCGUUGAUACUGCAUGGCUAGGAUUUGGUUGCUGUGGGUGGAAUGUGUGGUGUAGCGGUGAAAUGCUUAGAUAUCACACAGAAUAUCAAUUGCGAAGGCAGCUCACAAAGCCAAGAUUGACGCUGAGGCACGAAAGUGUGGGGAUCAAACAGGAUUAGAUACCCUGGUGGUCCACACUGUAAACGAUGAUAACUCACUGCCGGCGAUACACAGUCGGUGGCCAAGCGAAAGCGAUAAGUUAUCCACCUGGGGAGUACGACCGCAAGGUUGAAACUCAAAGGAAUUGACGGGGGCCCGCACAAGCGGAGGAACAUGUGGUUUAAUUCGAUGAUACGCGAGGAACCUUACCCGGGCUCGAACGGUGCAUGAAUAAGCAAGAGAUUGUUUAGUCCUUCGGGACAUGUAUCGAGGUGCUGCAUGGUUGUCGUCAGCUCGUGCCGUGAGGUGUCGGCUUAAGUGCCAUAACGAGCGCAACCCUUGUUGUUAGUUACCAACAGGUAAAGCUGGGGACUCUAACGAGACUGCCACCGUAAGGUGUGAGGAAGGGGGGGAUGACGUCAAAUCAGCACGGCCCUUAUGUCCGGGGCGACACACGUGUUACAAUGGGGGGUACAGAGGGCAGCCAUCCGGUGACGGAGCGCCAAUCUCCAAAACCCUUCUCAGUUCGGAUUGGAGUCUGCAACCCGACUCCAUGAAGUUGGAUUCGCUAGUAAUCGCGCAUCAGCCAUGGCGCGGUGAAUACGUUCCCGGGCCUUGUACACACCGCCCGUCAAGCCAUGGAAGCUUGGGGUGCCUGAAGUUCGUGACCGCGAGGAGCGACCUAGGGCAAAACAAGUAACUGGGGCUAAGUCGUAACAAGGUAACC
rnacentral:rRNA from 1 species